AGCUCGGUGGUCGAGUGGUCACAAGACGUCUGCUUUAGAAAGUAGGAGGUCGUGAGUUCGAGUCCCACCCGAGUGA